rnacentral:rRNA from 13 species
GCCCCUUCGUGGGGUGACUGCGUACCUUUUGUAUAAUGGGUCAGCGACUUACAUUCAGUAGCAAGGUUAACCGCAUAGGGGAGCCGUAGAGAAAUCGAGUCUUAAUAGGGCGUUUAGUUGCUGGGUGUAGACCCGAAACCGGGUGAUCUAUCCAUGAGCAGGUUGAAGGUUGGGUAACACUAACUGGAGGACCGAACCCACUGUCUUUGAAAAGCCAGGGGAUGACUUGUGGAUAGGGGUGAAAGGC